rnacentral:misc_RNA from 1 species
AAAAAUUAAGAAAAGAGAUAGUAAGAGACUCAAGAUAUUGGUGGAUCAAAGUUCUGCUAGUAAUUCAGCCGUGGCACUAGUUCCUCUACGAGAAAGGUACUCAAAGCCCUCAUCACUUCCGAAUCACAAAAGGACUCUGUCUGCUAGUAGUAACCUUCCAAGUCCAACAGCAAAGAAGAAAUUUGCUUCAGGACUAGUAAACGGUGUCAUGCAGGCCAUACCACAUCUUAGCCUCCCUCGUAGAUCAUCUCGUGCAAGUUCAUUCUCGAUUUCAUCAUGGUCUUCACGCAGUUCUAUGGACAAACAAAAAGCAAUUGUAAUUGACACUGAGCUUGCUGGACCUUCUUGUUCUCAUCCGUCAGAGGGUACACCAUCAGACUCGAUACACAAACAAAACGCAGGACAUAAAAGGUUGGUGAACCAAUAUCUGUGUUUUGGUGCUUCAGGACGACCUGUCAAGGCUCCUUCAACUGGUAUGCAGCCAUAUGACAUCUACGAGCGGUCUGUCCUAUCUGCAGCUUGACAAUGCCGGUUCUAAAAGGUGAAAAGAAGUACAUGUGAUGACCUAUAUGCAUGGACUUCAACAGUUUGCAGGUGAGUGAGCUCUUUUCCAGCUACUAACAUAUGAAAUAUUUCUCUGAAUUAGUCCUUUUUAUUGGAGAAGAAAAUGUAAAUAUGUUUGUAGCUGUAACUAAAUGACUUAGCCAUUUGAGUAGUUGGAUGUAAUAAGAAACUUCCUCUUGAGCUGGUUGAACAAAUUUAAG